UUCAGAACCUGUGUUCCAUCAGUUUCAGUAACAAUGCAGCAAUAGGACAAGUUUUGAUCAAACACUUUUCUGCUCCCUGUGCUCUGCUGAACGUCACCAAGCACUUCUAGUUUGGCUUCACCACCAACCUCCCCUGGAGACCGCUGCCUUUCUUCCAAGUUCUGGGGUCACUGAGGAAGCCGCUGCCUGUGCACUGCCCCAGCUCAGCCCCUCCUGUGCCUGUUUCCAGCUUCUGGCCGGAGGCUCUGCUUCCCAGCCUAUCAGAAUGGCCACCCUGCAGGAUACAACCCUUUAGGAGAAAUAAAGCUCUCCUUUCCAAAUGCAUGAACCUUGUCAUUCUUCAGCUGACGGCACUAUUUUCCACUGUCUUCCUCUUCCCUGGGUUGCUCAAGUUCACACAGAUGUGUCCUCACCAGGACCUCACAGUCAAAGAGACUUUUCUGUCUUUCUGUGUCAGUUUGAUGGGAGACCAGAUUCCAACCACUAGACACGGCUGCGUCCCUGAAGGCCCGGCUGCUGCAGGCCUCCCUCGAUCUGGCCAGGAAUGACUCCUUUCCUCCUCUAUUGCUAUCAGGAGAGGCUUUUGGGAGAUUGAUGACUGAUGACAAAAACAGGGCAGCACUCGGUGACUUUCUGCUGGUUCUUGAGAAUCCAAAUGAAAGUCCUACCCUGAACCUGCUCUGCAAAGGGGACCCACAUGAGGUCGCUUGGAAAGGGUCCUGACCCACCCACCAUGUCAAGCAAUUAUUUUUCUGGACAGCUUCCUGAUGUCCCCAAGGAGAGAGAGAGCGUGACAGCCAGUGAGGGAAAGCAUGCCACAGGUCCCGCCUGCUAACCUGGCAGGAGGGUGCUUGCAACACCUAAUUUAUCAACGCUUGUUUUCCCUGCUGGAGCCAAGUACACAAAAUCACUCCGCCAACAGAGAAAGAGAAAGGGGAAGCCAUUCUUCACCUUUUUCAGUAAUGUAUUUUUGUUUUGGUCAAUUUCCCAGAUAAAUUAUGGUCUUGUCUCAUUGCUGCAUUGGUGGAAUUCUUGCUAGUGUUAUUUAGUACAUUUUAAAGCUGUGUGAAACCAAAAGGUACUUAAAAAAAAAAAAAAAAGGAAAGUUAACCAAAUUGAAGGGUAAAUUUUUUACAUUGUUCCACUGGCUCCAGUUGGAGCUUAAUCAUCACGACCCUUCCUUCAGUCCACAGCGCCUGCUUCAAGAUGCAGCAGAAGUCAAAAUUGCAAGAGUCUGGAUGUUUUGCUUUCGUGUAACUCAUUAGGCAUUUCCCCCUGUGCUAUGAUAAAUGUCUCUCUCAACCAGAAAUUUUAUCUCACCUGUGUAUGUCCCUAUUUCACUCUGCGGAAUCACUCUCAGGAAAUACAAGCUAAUGAUGUCUGUGGUUCUGAAAUUUCCUUGUUAUUAUUUGUUUAAGACAUUUUUUAAAAAAACCUGUGGACAGCUUAUUAAAAGGAUGCUGAGCAAUGAAAACAUUAUUAGACCAUAUUAUUGUUUAUUGUACCCAGAUGUCGUGCAUUUUACACAUCCCAAAGGAUUAGUAGUAAUGUUGGAUACCAAAAUCUUACUUUUCCUUGCAGAUAUUGAGACUAAAUUUUUCUCAUUAAAAACAAAACAUUUACACUGAACAAAUGGUGCGUGUCCGGGUGAAGCAUCAGGUCUCAAGAAGGCAACACUGCUCAAACGAGACUUAGGACAGAACUGGAGACCAAAACAAAGCUGAGGCUACUGUUGGAAAUACUGGUCUAAAAAAAGGAAGAGUGUGGUAUGCUUGUUUUUUAGUUUUAUAGAAUUUUCCAUUUGGAAAGGAGAGAAAUGCAUACAUCCAAGCUGAAAUAAACCAUUCUAGCAAACAUGCCGAGGAAUAAUUUUCAAGAAUGUUUUGUUUUUAAUGAAAAGGAAAGCAAAUCAAAGAAAACCUGGGUAAGUGUUAAAGAGUACUAAAUUUAUAGUAAGGUUCAGGCAAUCUGCCCACUGCAAUCAGAAAGGUUUGGGCUGUUAGUCAUUUAAGACACACAAUGGGAAAAUAAACAAAGAAGGAGGAAGGGGGAAUGGUAAACUGUAGUUUGGCAGCAAAAUUAGUCCAGCUAGUUCCAUUACAUAUUAAACCAUGUCACAAAGCAAAUAAUUGAAAUAAUGAGGAGCUCAUUUUUUAAAAGAUAUAUAGAGUAGCAUAACAGAAUCAACAAAAAUAAGACUGUUUUAUAUAACAAUUCAAUAGACAAUAAAUAAGCACUCCAUUUGGGGAAAAGAAUCACACAAUAAAUGAUGCUGGGAUGGCUUGUGAGUAAUUUGGAGAAAACUGAUCUAGAAUGAGAGCGAGUAUUCCACAUUCGCCACUCUCUUGUCUUUUGGCUUUCUAUCACCUUGGCCAAUGGAGGAAGACAGCAAAAAACAGGAAGGAGGAAGAGUAUGAAGGGAGUCAUUUCUCCCCGGCACUCCAUGCCAGGUUGCUCCAGAAGGCUGUGUCUCUGUCCUAAGGGCUACAGCUUGGCUUGGGCAGUCUUUCCAUACAACUCUCCAGGUUCGGGAAAUUGCUUACUCAUCUGCCCCUGCAAGUGCAGGGAUGACAAUCACUUCCAGCUGAGCUGAGCCCAGCAUGCUGCAUCAUUCUUUGUUGAUGUCCCUCAACUCCGCUGGCGCUAUCUUGAUUAUCCUUAGGCUUACCUCAGUUCCCCAGUCCUAGUGGGCCUUCUGGUUCCUCCUGGGGCACUGACUGAUCCAGGUGCCCUGGGGUUCAGUCGCUAAGUUUCAGCUUCCUAUGUGAUGGGGUUUGGUUCUGUCCUUGUCUAAAUCUCAUGUUGAAUUGUAAUCCCCAGUGCUGGAGGUGGGGCCUGGUGAGAGGUGACUGGAUCAUGGGGUGGAUUUCUCACGAAUAGUUUAGUGCCGUUCCGUUGGUGCUAUCCUCAUGAUAGUGAGUGAGUUCUUGCAAAAUCUGGUCAUUUAAAAGUGCUCCUGCUUUUGCCAUGUGAUGUGUGACAUGCGUACUCCCGCUUCACCUUCCACCACGAUUGUAAGUUUCCUGAGGCUUCCCCAGAAACUGAGCAGAUGCCAGUAUCAUGCUUCCUGUACAGCCUGAGGAUCCAUGAGCCAAUUAAACCUCUUUUCUCUAUAAAUUAUCCAGUCUCAGGUAUUUUUUAUAGCAAUGCAAGAACAGCCUAAUACUGUGCAAUUUCAGAAUCCCAAGUUUCUCUAUUUACCCAAGACCGGGGGGUGCUCCCGCGGCCUGAUUCAUGCUCACAGACAUGCAAA
rnacentral:lncRNA from 10 species